rnacentral:rRNA from 1 species
AGAGAGAGACAUGCGCGCAUAUCAAUAAGCGGAGGAAAAGAAACUAACUAAGGAUUCCCUCAGUAACGGCGAGUGAAGCGGGAAGAGCUCAAAUUUGAAAUCUUCAAGGUUCUACCUUGACGAAUUGUAGUUUAAAGAAGUGUUUUCUGUUGAAGUUUUGGUAAAAGUUCUUUGGAAUAGGACAUCAUAGAGGGUGAGAAUCCCGUAUUUGACCAUUAUUUUCCAGCUUUGUGAUACACUUUCAAAGAGUCGGAUUGUUUGGGAAUGCAGUCCAAAAUGGGUGGUAAAUUUCAUCUAAAGCUAAAUAUUGGCGAGAGACCGAUAGCGAACAAGUACCGUGAGGGAAAGAUGAAAAGAACUUUGAAAAGAGAGUUAAACAGUACGUGAAAUUGUCAAAAGGGAAGCGUUUGACACCAGUGUUGUUUUCUCGAAAAUCAAUUAAAAAUGGCUCGAUUUUGUAUUGUUGAGACCUUAAAAGCUCACUGUACAUUUUUCGUGUCCUUUUUUAAUGCACUUUUCGUUUAACAAGUCAACAUCAGUUUCUUUUGUUGUAAAAGGGUCAUUGGAAGGUGGCUUUCUUUUCGGAGAAAGUGUUUAUAGCCUUUGGCCUCUGCAAUCGAAGAGACUGAGGUCUGCAGCGUAGACUCUUCGGGGUUAGAUACAUUUGUGCUAAGUUAUAGCUUUUUAUAGACAACUUGUUGACUAUAAUUAGUCUUGUAGCUUACUCGCUUAUGCUAUUUUACCUACGCUUAGGAUGUUGAGUCGUAGAGCACGCA